AUAUUUUGAAGUUUUUUUUUUUAAACGAUUUAAGCGCUUUUUUGCCGUUUUUAAGUGCAUAUAAAUCCGUUUGCAAUUAAGUUUAAGACUGAAUGUGCGCCCAUGAUAACAAAUUUAAACAUAUAAAAAAAUUAGAACCAAAGGUUCAUGAUAAUUAUAUUUAAUGUAGGUGGUACUAUCAUAUUAUGUAAUAACACUGAUAGCAGAAAAAAAAAAAAAAGAUAACACAUUGGUGCCGUAAUCGACCCCACGUAUUCCCGCAAUAUCGCCAAACACCAUUUCACCAUCAAUCUACCAUGUGGCACGGCCGCGGUUUAAGACCUAACCGUAAACCGUGGUUAUCACAAUCCACGUUUAUAAGCUGUGAAUAUCACUUGUACGAAAUAUGAUAAGAGACGUUUUCGGAAACAUAUUGGCUAACUGCACGCGAAAUGAAAUACUACUCGACGCGGUUUCGCAUAGCAAAUCGGGGUUUAUUUUCGAUUGGCGGGUGUACAAAAUGAUGCACGCCGCGAAAAUCCAAGAGGGUGCAUGUGCACCCCUCCCCUAGAUUAUGCCCGGGUCCGGUCCGUUUUAUUCACAGGCAAAGUCGCCCGGCGGCGUUAUCGACUGACCGUAGAGAAAAAAAAAAAAA